UGCAUUUUUGGGGGGUGACAUGUGGCAGGUGAUAGGUGCACCAGUCAGGGACCCUACAAAUAUAUGUACCUGUAGGAGGAACAGAGGUUCCGCUGUUGGUUUGUGCCGGUGGAAUGAGGCAGGUGCACACCUCAUUCCACACAGGCGUGCAGAAGGCACGGGCUGCAGGAAGACAGACCUGUUUCCUCGCUGGGUUGAAGGCGGCUGGUAGUCGGUAGGGAAGUUUAUCACCGACGUACCAGAGCAUCAGUGGUCCAUACGCUGCUCUUGCCGGGAAUAAUUUGUUUUGGUUCGUUUUGUUUCUUUCGGGUUUUUUUCCUAUGUCUAGUCCGCCCUGACAAGUGAGCCGGUACCGGGCAAAAAAGAGAUGGGUUUGCCCGUCAGGCGGACUAGUUUCUUUUCUUUUCUUUAUUUAUGUUUGUUUGUCUUUUUCUUGUCAGUUGCUUCCCCCUCAUCACCAGUACCCAGCUUACUCCCAGUCAGGCUGCCAGAGAGGGCCUGAGGUGUGAAAAGUGUGCAGUGAGUACAUUCACGCGUGUAAAUUCUGAGUGAGAACUCUUGGAGUGCAAAUUCAUAGUGUGCAGUGUGCUGUGAAAAGAUUCACGUGUGUAAACUGUGUUAACUCUUUCGAGUGCAGACCUAAGGAUUGCAGUGCAUUGGUGUUAUUGGAAACUUAUCCCCCCCCCUUUCUGUUAGCAUAAUUGGGAGUAAAGCUGGGACGCGGGUAAUGUGAGAGAAAUUGAUUUGUAAACUGAGCUUUUGUAAUAAAUAUUUGCUAUCACUUACCUCUGUGACUGUC